UACGUAGGGUGCGAGCGUUAAUCGGAAUUACUGGGCGUAAAGCGUGCGCAGGCGGUUUUGUAAGCCAGAUGUGAAAGCCCCGGGCUUAACCUGGGAAUGGCAUUUGGGACUGCAAGGCUUGAGUGCGGCAGAGGAGACUGGAAUUCCUGGUGUAGCAGUGAAAUGCGUAGAGAUGUGGAGGAAUACCGAUGGCGAAGGCAGCCCCCUGGGAUAACACUGACGCUCAUGCACGAAAGCGUGGGGAGCAAACAGG
rnacentral:rRNA from 1 species